ACACUAAAUACAAACAAGUCUUUAUUUUCCUCUGUCUUUUUGAUGGUUACAAGCAAUAGUUUAGGUUAUAAUCAAGUAAAAAUAGUCUGUUAUCAGGUAUACUAUAUAGAGAAGUAGAGACAGGUAGGAAAAAAUCCUCUCUGUACACAGAUAGCAGUGUUUGCACAGUGCUAGAAAAAGGCAAGGCUGGAUGAAGCCAAAAUAGUGGAAGAGGGUGGAAAUUAAUCAAUUCACAGAAAUCCAGAUGUUCUGCAUACUCGGAGCCAAGUCUCUGCAUCCUGACUGCCAGAGAUUUUCAUGUUUCCUCCAGAUGUCUGCUUUCAGGUAGAGAUUGUCAUCUCACGUGAUUUACUGUACAACUCUUGGUGUUCAUCAUACUCUAUUUCACAUGAUGUAUUUGAGUAGAUCUAGCCUCUAAAA
rnacentral:lncRNA from 1 species